CUUUUAUCAAAUAUGAAAUAUAUGGAUAAUAAGUAGAAGAAAUUAAUUAGUUUAAGUAGAAUAAAAUUAAAAAAUUAAAAAAAUAAAUAAAAAGAAAAAUAAAUAUCGCGUAUGGUGUAUAGAGAUGAUGAAUAGCAAAACUCUUUUAUCAUUUAUUUUAUCUCUUGACGUGGCACCAACUUAUUAAACAAAUUAAAAAACAUAUAUUUAAAAUAAAAUAAAACUUAAAAAUACAAAAAAGAUGGAUACUAGAAUUUUAUAUUUCCUUCACUUUUUAUGUUUAUAUUUUUAUUUUUUAAAAUUUUUAGUAAGGAACGUAAUACAUAAGACACCAUAUUAUGAUGCAAUAAAUUGAGUGUUAUAAAUUAAUUUGUCCUUAAAAAAAUAAAUAAAGAAAGAGAGAAGCUACCGGCCGUAUAGGUGAAAUAGCCUAUUUUACACUCAUAAAUAAAAAGCUCAUACAUAUAAAUUAUAUAAAACUAAACAUUAAACUCACAGGGAGAUAGUCUCUAAUUUCUUCUGAAAUCUCAGCCUGAUCCCUUCCCCUCCCCCCCCCCAACUCCCUCCCUCUCUCUGUCUCUUUAAAAUGAGAGAACUCGAAAGUCCUCAACGUCUGAGGGACAUCUAUAUAGUGUCAAUUGAAUACUUUAAAAAAAUAAUAUUUUAUUUAAUAUAUAACUUUCAUAUAAAACUAUCUUAUCUCAUCUCACCGUCCAAACAACUUAAAGUUAAGAUCUUGGACUUGUUUUCUUACACUUUCACAUUUCGAUUCUUUUGUUCACAUCGUUCUCUCUGGAAUCUGUACCCCAUUCAUUUCUUGAUUCUGUCUUCUAGAUAAGAAGCCUUGAUUUCUUACCAAUUUACUUAAUUCUGUAAUUUAACUUAAGUUCAAUGUUGAACAUAAGUUAUGUAAUUUAAACUUGUCCAUGAAGCAAAACAGAAUGUUGAAGGCGAUUGCUCAAUAGAAGGUAGGGAGCGAGGCGAGCUAACAGAGACAAGGGUAUCAAAUGAAAUUCUCCCUCCUCCACUCGGUUUCAUUUCACUGUUUGUUUUGUUUUGUUUUUCUAAUAACUAGACACGUGGAACGUCAAGCUGACAAAUGGAGCUGCCAAUUUGAAGAUUCUUUACCUAAUUUACAUAUUAAUGCCUCGAUAGGCCUGAGACAUACAACAAUAUCAAUAAAACGUGUAAGAUCAGUUUCUUGGAAUUUUUCCUUUUAGGAGAUCUCUCAAUUAAUGACCAUCCUUAAUGUAGAUACAUGCCACUUGAGUCAAAACCUUGAUUCAUUUUGACAAAUGCAUUGAGUGAAGAAUGGACCUUUAUCGCAGACUCGCAAGCGCUACUAAGCCAAAGUGACGUUGAGAGAGGAUAAAUUUUAUCCUUGCGAUACUACUUUCUUCGUUAACCCCGAGGUCCUUUACGUUGCGCUAGUUCUCUGCAGUAGGGAAAAAUAACAUACGGACAUGGAAGAAAAAAGGUCAAUUUUUGAGUCCCCCUUGAUUCCAAUAGCACAAGGAAAAGCAUUGGAAUCUAGGAAAGGGAUUCAACAAAGAGGAUGUUAUAGCAGAGGUGAAGAAGCAGCUGUGGUUAGCAAGCCCACUUCUGCUGGUUAAUCUCCUGGUGAACGGUUUGCAGUUUAUCUCAAUCAUGUUCGUGGGUCAUCGUGGAGAGCUAGAGCUCUUGCUGGUGCUUCCAUGGCCAGUUCUUUUGCAUUAGUAAUUGGUUUCAGCUUGUUGAGCAAUGGUGCCUCUCCUGGCUAUCAGCCUCUUGGCAGAUCUUAUCAGUUGAAUCAUAAUGAAAAGUGUAAAUUGUGAUUUUUUUUGUAAAAUUAAACUAGAGACAAGUGGGUUUCCAUUUCUUUGGUCAUUUCAAGGCAACAUAGACGAAGAUGGCCGAAGGGAUUCAUAGAAAGGACUAGUUCGAGAGGAAAAGUUGUUCCACGGGCUCCCCAAAUGGAUGUCUUGGGACAUCGUUCGAUAGGAGUGUUUGUGACUCACUACGGAUGGAGCUUGGUUUUGGAAAGUAUUGUGGGAAGGGUGCCAAUGACUUGUAGGCCAUUUUUUGGAGACCAUAUGCUGAACAUGAGGGUGGUAGAGUCAGUUUGGGGCAUUGACUUGGGGAUUGAGGGUACGAUUUUCACUAAAGAUGGAGCAGUAAAAGCCCUGGAACUAACUUUGUUGAAUGAACAAGGCAAGCAAAUGAGAGAAAAAGUUGAAGCCUUCAAAAAGACUACCUUGGACGUUGUUGGAAUCAAUGGUGACUGUAGUGAAAAUCUCAAGACUUUGAUUGAGUUAAUAACUAAUUAGUAAAAUGACAUUCAUGUACUCGUGAUCUAGAAGAGUUUAGUGAGAGAAACUCUCCAUUCUCUCUAGGAAACAAGCUCAGAAAAAACAGUCUGAGGGAGGUGGUCCCACCUCGCUCCUGUCUCUCUUUCUUUUCCCGUUUGCUUUAGGUUUUUUAUUUCUGUGUUGCGCUUCAUUUUUCGAUUGUUAAUAAAAACCAUUGGCUACGAUUUUGGUGGGUUGGAUUGCCAUCACCAAGCUU